ensembl:lncRNA
CUCACACGUAAAAAUGUUCUGAAACAUGCCAUAAGCUGGUCAAAAACCCCAAAGGAACCUAACUGCGUGGAGACAGUCCUUAUCUACACAAGCUAGCCUCCAGCCUCCUCCCAACCAUGCAGACACCUUGUCCACACUGGGGUCCCUUCCCCAAGCCCAUUCCAAAAAGCCACUGGCAUGCCAUAGGGAACGCUCCCCCACCCAGCUGAACCUUUUGGCAUUGCCGACUGCGCAGAAUGGUCACGGGGUAACUAACUGUGUCGCCCCGGAGACCAGAUCCAGCUGUUAAGCUCUUUGCCAAGGACUUAGGGGAAAGGGGACAAGGUCGCCAGGCCUGGCAACCCAGGUGGACAGCGAGGGCAGUUGUGGGACCCUGGUGGCCACAGCUCUCAACCUUUCUGGAUUGGCAGGAUGAUUUCGGGGGGAAGACGCGCACUCACCUGGCUUCAGCCGGCCCUGCAGAGGGAGACUUGGAAGAGAUGGAAAGGAGAGACCUCUCUGUGGAUGAUGAGCUCCCCAGGCAAGGGACAGCAGCCUGACUCCUAGGUCACAGGCAGCGGGGCUCGCUCGUUUCUCUCUGGGCUACCACCGGGGAGGCUGCUUCCAUACCCCACAGGCAGCCACUCCUGUUUGGCUCUGCAGCUACCGCUACUGCUCCCGGCAAGAAGACGACGUUGCUCGCAGCCCAGCGAGAGAGUGCACAAGAAGAGAGAAGCAAGAGCGAAAUCAAAGCAGCGUGGAGGAGAGAGAGGCAGAGAAAUCGAGAAGGAACGGGAGAGCCAGACCGAAUCUGGCUCCACCAAUGGGAUCAGAGGCUGCUCAGCGUCAGGUGAUAACAAGCAAGCUUGGUCCCUGCUCGCCCAGGCUUGUGGGAGGGGGAAAGGGCAGAGGGUCCCCGGGGAGCUAUAAAGAUGUCCUUGGAGGCAGCAGCUGUGGCUUCUGCCACAUUUCCCCCAUUCUUCCAGGACAAGAUGCCUCCGGAAGUCAGUCCAACACACCCCCUACUUGGAAAUUUAGGGUUUGAAUGAAGCCCCCGAACUUUAAGGUGAUCUCCUAGGGGACCUUCACGGAUGCACGGCUUCUUACCAACUCUUAUUAAGAGAAACCAUCCCCGCAGCCUCGGAGACUCUGGAGUGUCCAGGGAGAAUCUUCUAGCUGCUUAAAUGUCCCCAAGAAAAGGAGUGGGAGAGAGGCGUUGUAAAACAGGGAGGGAUGCACAGAGGCAAGAAUGUGGGGGGUGGAAGGAGACAGAGCUUUGAGUGUUCUCAUCCCAACCACCCUCCAGGCUGGAGGCCACCAAAGCCCUGAGACUGCAGUCCGAGAGGACAGUCAGCAGGAGGCUUGUCUACCACUAAGAACUGAGGACAGCUGGAGGUUCCCAGAACAUCAGGGAAAUUUGAUGGAAGCAACAGUGGCCAAAGAGUUGAUACUAUGAUGAAAAGAACCGAUUUUGAAGUCUGAUGGAAAUGGAAACAAUUUAGCUCUACGGUUUUCUAGCUGGGUGACUCUGUCUCUAAGCUUCGGUUUCUUCAUUUGUGAAGUGAGAUGAUAAUACAGGUUUAUUGUUAUCGUGGAAUGAGAUCAUUAUGUAAAUCACUUAGCUCUGGGCUUGGCACCUGAGAAGUGUCAACCAGUCAGAGUUGCUGUCUUUCUCAUUGUUGGUGGCAGUCUCUGCCCUGCAAAGAGCCUACAGUCUUCUAGGGGAGGAAGGAGGGACAUUUAGAGGGUACUGGUGGAGAAUAAGAAGACCCCAGUUGGUCCUUCUGCAUCUGCUGAUACAGCCAAGAAUCAAAAAGAUGUUUUAGGGGCUGGGGAGAUGGUUCAGAAGAGUACUAGCAAAGAACCAAAGUUUUAUUCCUUGCUCACAACCAUCUGUAACUCCAGUUCCAAGGGAAUGCUCUCUUCUGGCCUCUCCUGACAUUGUACACAUGUGGUGCUGUUGUACAACGGUUUCCUCCGAGAUUGAAACAUUUCAUCCUACAGGGAAGCUCCUUAAACAGGAAAGUAAACAACUCAAAAUAAAUUCAGGAAGUCCCUGAAACAGACCAGAUUCACUAGGCUCCUCUCUGACAGAGUCAACAAUAAAAGCUGUCAUCUGCAAAGAAGACCCAGACAAACCAAGAAGCUGCUAAGACAAGGCAGCUGCCUGGAAAAAGCAGAAACCAGCUGAGCUUCUGGAAGAGGUUUAGACCAACAGAGAAACCUGGAAAGGACACUCUCCAACUGGCUAAGCUGCCUACAGGAUUUGCAAGCUGUCUUGCACGUUGGGGUGGGCUUUCUGCUGGGGAGGGCCUUGGUGAUGCAGCUGUCUUUGAGUCUUUUCGGCUCCUGUAAGAAACUGCAAUAAAACUCAUUGGUUCACCAAGUUGCACUUUGGUGGUAUCCGUACUUUGGCCUGUCAUGAGCUCUCUAUCUGUGGUAAGUAGAUGUAUGUGUCUUGCCUUCC